rnacentral:tRNA from 1 species
GGGCGGUUAGCUCAGCGGUAGAGCGGCUCGUUUACACCGAGCGGGUCGGCAGUUCGAUCCUGUCACCGCCCACCA